rnacentral:lncRNA from 1 species
UCCUCUUCAAAUCCUCCUCGAUUUUCUGUUUCAUGCUGUUGGGGAAAUACAUCCCAUACAGCACUCCACAGAACUCAUCACACCUUAACUGCGUCGCCACCAGUCCCUGGUCUCGCAUCGCUCUCCGCCACCAAUCAUGUGCAUCACCUGACAGACAGUGUACUCCCAAAGGUACCUGCUCCCACUCUGGAACGAACAGAUUCUUGAAUAACUUCUCCAUCGCACUGACCCAUCCCUCAGCAAUCCAGGCUUCAGUGCCUCUGCAGU